GAAGGAGUACUAUUAUAUAUUUGUAUAUUACUGGUAUAUGAUACUCUGUUUCAGCGCCUUAGUGCCUGUUGGCUGCCCAGUGGCUUACCUGAAAUAAUUUGGUGGCCUCUGUCCUUGAUAGGUCACACAUAACUGCCACCCCAGCUGGUGCUUAAUGGUCCCCCUGAAAUCGCAGCAGAGAGGCCAAGUUUUGCAUGGAUCAUGGUGACCAUUACCCACUCCUUGCAAUAGAUAAUGUGGGGAAAGUUUGUACUGCCACUGCCCAAAGUGUACCUGUUCCUGAAAAUGGAUGGUUGGGUAGAUAAUAUUGCAAAACAGAAGCUGGCGAUGUUCAUUUGGCCAGUACACUAUUUCUGUAGGAUUGAGUGACACAGAGUUCUGUGCUUGCCAAAUCUGAGGGCCAAAGGCUUUCAACCAGAAAUGUUCCACCUCCCUCCUGCUCUUUUUAUGUCUUAUUUCUGGUAUGAAAUAGAAAAUUUUAAAAUAGAGGCAUAGGGGGACCGCCCAGUGUCCCCAGCAGUAAUUCUGAGUGUAGCAGAGACAUCACUCCCAGCUCAAAACUUCUUGUAACAGAGGCUGGAAGCAGAAGGCUGGCUACCAAACGUAGAAAGGAAUAGCUUUCCUCUAAAUAGAAACUGCCAGAGCAUCCCAAGGACUACAGAGAUCAAAAAAAAGGAACAUGCAAGUGAGUUGGUAUGAAGUGAGGGGGCAAAUCUACUCCGGUUUGACAAAGGCUGGUGUAUGUCCACUUUCCAUUGUUGAAGUGGUGAACCAAUUACUAAAUUAGACAGCAUAUUCCUGAGGAAGAAGUUCCAGUGUCGAGAUGAUUGUUUUCAUAAUGCGACAUCACGUUUUCUUUCUCCGUGAGCAGUGCGGCUCGGCCGUUAAUUGGAGAGAAAACAAUCAGAGACCUGCUGCUGCUGGAAUUUGUUUAAAGCAUGGGAAGAUGAGGAAAAGCUUGUGUGUCUGAGAGAGAGCAGCUGGUGUUAAGCUGUGUGGUGGAAGCAGUCAUGCUUGGGGACUGUAGCUCAGUAUAAUUGGCAAAACGAAGCCAUAGUCAUUCUUUUAGAUCAAACGCCAUACUUCCAACACACAAACAUGUUUCGGGUCUGACGCGUGUAGUAACAAGCCACAGUGUUUGGAGUUUUACUAAUAGAAAUGAUUUGUCCUUGCAUUCCCCCCUUUCCUCUGAGGAUCUGUAAAGUGCUUUACAAACUCUAAACCUCACCAUACCCCUGGCAAGUCGCUGAGUAUUAUCCCCAGCUAGAUGGGGGCAAACCAGAAACACAGAAACAGAAUGACUUGGUCCAAGGUUGCCUAGUCAGGAAUAGGGCCCAGAAACUGCUGUUUGAACUACUAGACAGCACUGACUUGAUAAAAUGCUGUCCUGGUUAUGCCUAGGUAUUGCAACAGAUGUGAUAUAUGAAAAGGAAGUAUAUUGCCUUAUUCGAGACAAUGCAGAGGAGGAGGGUAAGGAUGACGUCAAGUAACAUGGAAGACUCCAGAAUGACAUGAAAGAAAAUGUCACCAUUUUGUCACUUCACCAAAGUAGGGAAUGUAGCCUUACAAUUGGAGACGUUGAGUGUGGUUUAGUGCCUGGGGCCCUGAACUGGGAAUCAGGCAACACGAGUUCCAUUCUCAGUCCUGCCACUGAUCUGCUGUGUGACCUUGGGCAAGUCACUUCUGUUUCCCCUCCUACCCUUUGUCUAUUUUGUCUGUAAGCUCUUCAAGACAGGGACUUUUUUUUCAUUGUGCAUAUGUACAGUGCCUAACACAACAGGGCCAUGAUCGUGGUUGGGGUCUUAAAGCACUAAGGUAAUAUUAAUAAACAAACUUGGCCACCGCUGCUUUAUGCAGGGUAAUAAGUGGGUAGAAUAAGUUACCAGAGCAACAACUGAAGCAAGGAAUAUAAAUUCAUGGAGACACUUACAGCUUUAAAAAAAACAAAAAAACACACACACAAUUAAUAAAUACAUGGAUGAUUCAUUAGAUCUCAUAAUUCAAGCUAACCAUCUCAAUACAAAUAUUUGGGUUAUAUAUUCCUACAGUUCUCAUGGACUAUAGAUCUUCAAAGCCUUUCUUAACCAUUUGAUAUUUCAAGAAUAUAAAACAGUCACAUACAUUGAUUUGUAUUGCGGUAGCACUUAGGAACCGCAUUGUGAACCAGGACUGCAACGUAUGACAGGCUGUACAAACAAAACAAAAAGACAGGUCCUGUUCC